GUUUAAGUUUACUUAACGCAGACAGUGGAUGCCUUGGUCUAGAUUACCGAAGAAGGACGUGCAAGACUGCGAAAAGCGUCGGUGAGUUGUCAAGAAACAUUACAGCCGGCGAUGUCCGAAUGGGGAAACCCGCACUGCUUCACCGCAGUGAACUCGUGCUCCAAGGGGCACUCUAAACAGGUAACAAUUAACUACCAACUAGAAUUAGUAAUUGACUUUUAACUAUAAGUUAACAGUUGAAAACUCAUUGGUGUGUUGAUUGUUGUUUGUUUGGAGUGCCUAUUAAGGCGCGUAGAGGGAACCGCCCGAACUGAAACAUCUAAGUAGGGCGAGGAAGAGAAAUCAACGAGAUUGCCUAAGUAGCGGCGAGCGAAACGGCAAGAGCCCAAAGGUGUGCGUAGCACACAACAGUUAACAAUUAACAUUCAACUACCAACUUUAAAUUAAAGUGUUGGCAAUUGAUUGUUGUAAGUUGAAAGUUGUGUGCUAUGCGCACCGGUUGUGGGACCGCAACGUGGUAGUUUUUUUGAUAGCAGAAUGACAUGGAAUAGUCAGCCAUAGAACGUGAUAGACGUGUAUGCGAAAUCAAAAGGACGCCUAGCGGUAUCCCGAGUACGACGAUGCAUCUACAUCGUCGGAAUCUGGGGGAACCAUCCUCCAAGGCUAAAUAUGAUCUAGAACCGAUAGUGGACAAGUACCGUGAGGGAAAGGUGAAAAGAAGGGCGGAACGCCCAGUGAAAUAGAACCUGAAACUGUUUGCGAACAAUCCGAUAGAGCCAGUGCAUAGCACUGAACUAUUAACUUCCAACACACAACAAUUGACAUUUGGUUAAUUGUUGGGAGCUUGUAUAGAAGCGUGUUGAUUUGUUGAUGGUUCCGCGCUGUGCGCGGGUAAUAUCGUGCCUAUUGAAGAAUGAGCCAGUGAGUUUUCGUGUUUUUUAAGUUUAAGCCGUAAUUACGGCGAAGGCGUAGGGAAACCAAGUGUGAUAAGCGCGAAUAAAAAAACGCGGAAGACCCGAAACCAGGUGAGCUAUCCAUGAGCAGGGUGAAGCCCAUAGAAAUAUGGUGUGGAAGCCCGAACUCGUAUCAGAUGCAAUUGAUUGGGAUGACUUGUGGAUAGGGGUAAUAUGCUAAUCGUACCUGGAGAUAGCUGGUUCUCCCCGAAAGGUGUUUAGGCACCGUGGCAUCGAAAAACUACAGGGUGGUAGAGCUACUGAAUGGGAUAAUGAGGGUAAUCUGAGUUAUCUCAACCAAACUCCGAAUAACUUGUAGUAUGCGUUGCUAGACAGCCACACGGGGCUAAGCUCGUGUGACAAAAGGGAAACAACCCGGACUCUCGGCUAAGGUCUCUAAUGUAUCUUAAGUUUUUAAGGAAGUUUUUUAUCAUAGACAGCUAGGAGGUUGGCUUAGAAGCAGCCAUCCUUUAAAGAAAGCGUAACAGCUCACUAGUCGAUGAUAAGAAGCGCCGAAGAUGUAUCGAGGAUUAAAGAUACUACCGAAGCUAGAGGUGUCGUGCUUUGCACGCAACAACCAACAAAAACAGCCAACAGUCAACAAUUAAGUUGGAAAUUGGAAGUUGAUUGCUGCGUGCAGAGUGCGGCGCGGUAGGGGAGCGUUCCAAGGGCUUUGAAGGUGUGCUGUAAGGCAUGCUGGAGCGCUUGGAAGUGAGAAUGCUGGCAUAAGUAGCUUACAAGCUAGGUGAGAAUCCUAGCCGCCGAAUGUCCAAGGUUUCCGUCGCGAGGAUCGUCCCCGACGGGUUAGUCGGCUCCUAAGGCGAGGCCAUAAAGGCGUAGUCGAUGGACAACUAGUUAAUAUUCUAGUACUUUUCUUGUGUUGUUUGACCUGGGGAUCAACUGGAUUGGAGGACCGAAGCCGGUUCGCGAAGUCCGGUGCAAGCUGUAAGGUAGUUCAUAUUGGAAAAUCCGUAUGAAUGAUUAAUCGAGCAGUUAUGCAGAGUCUGGUGAGAGCCGGACGAUUUUGAAUAAUUCAAUCUACCAGAAACAAUUCGCAGUUAGACACAAGGAGAGCUGUACCGCAAACCAACACAGGUGGACUGGUCGAGAAGACUAAGGCGAGCGAGAGAAGGGGGCUCAAGGAACUCGGCAAAAAAACUACCCGUAACUUCGGGAGAUGGGUUGCCCCAAUUCUAUUUUAUUAUUGGGGUCGCAGCGAAAGUUUGUUAAUCGACUGUUUACCAAAAACACAGGUCCGUGCAAACUCGUAAGAGGACGUAUACGGGCUGACGCCUGCCCAGUGCCGGUAAGUUAAACGGCGGGGUGCCCCGAGCUUGUCUCGGGAUGCUCCAAAGCGAAGCUCCGGUAAACGGCAGCAGUAACUAUAACUGUUCUACGGUAGCGAAAUUCCUUGUCGUGUAAGUUACGACCCGCACGAAAGGCGUAACGAGUUAACAACUGUCUCGAGCCUCUACUCGGCGAAAUUGCGAUGGCUGUGAAGACGCGGCCUACUUCCACCAGGACAAGAAGACCCCGUGGAGCUUUACUAUAGCUUGACAUUGAUAUGUGCAUUUUAAUUGUCUAGUGUAGGAGGGAGUUCCGACCUUGUGUCGGAACAACAAUGUAACACCUCUCUUUGAAGUGUGGCAUAUCUUACUUACGUCGCCUGGAAACGGCGACAGGGACAGUGUUAGGUGGGUAGUUUGUCUGGGGCGGAUCCCUGCCAAAGUGUAACGCAGGGGUACAAAGGUUAGCUUGGCACGGAUGGACAUCGUGCUGUAAGUAUAAAGGCAUAAGCUAGCUUGACUGCGACAGUGACGGCUGGAGCAGGUGCGAAAGCAGGUCUUAGUGAUCCUCCGAUCCACCAUGGGUGUGGACGGAGCUUAUCGGAUAAAAGCUACCCCGGGGAUAACAGAGUGGUCGCACCCGAGCGUCCUUAGCGACGGUGCGGUUCGCUACCUCGAUGUCGGCUCAAGGUAUCCUGGGGCUGGAGAAGGUCCCAAGGGUUGGUCUGUUCGCCCAUUAAAACCUUACGCGAGCUGGGUUCAAACCGUCGUAAGACAGGUUGGACUGUAUCCGGUGGGAGCGUUAGAAUCUUGAGGAGAGCUCACCUCAGUACGAGAGGACCAGGUGGGGGGAAUCCCUAGUGUGCCGGUUGUGGCGUCAGCUGCAAAGCCGGGUAGCUACAUUCCUUGUUGGAUAACCGCUGAAAGCAUCUUAAGUGGGAAGCCCACUCCAAGAUGAGGAUUCUUUUAGACUCCUGGUAGAACACCAGGUAAACGACAGGCAGUGGAAGCCCCGUGAGGGGUUAAGCUAACCUGAAGCGAAUCAGUCGAAAAACUUAAACUA
rnacentral:rRNA from 1 species